CGUGUAGGCGGUCAAGUAAGUGGAAUGUGAAAUCCCUCGGCUUACCCGAGGACCUGCAUCCCAAACUGCUUGGCUUGAGUAUGGGAGAGGAUGAGGGAAUUCCUGGUGUAGCGGUGAAAUGCGUAGAUAUCAGGAGGAACACCGGUGGCGAAAGCGCUCAUCUGGCCCAAUACUGACGCUGAGGCGCGAAAGCUAGGGGAGCAAACGG
rnacentral:rRNA from 1 species